UCUAUACAUGACUCUGCGCAUAUCAAUAAGCGGAGGAAAAGAAACUAACAAGGAUUCCCCUAGUAACGGCGAGUGAAGCGGGAAGAGCUCAAAUUUGAAAUCUUAAAGGGUUUCCCUUUACGAAUUGUAGUUAAAGAAGUGUUUUCUGUUGAGGUUUUGGUAAAAGUUCUUUGGAAUAGGACAUCAUAGAGGGUGAGAAUCCCGUAUUUGACCAUUAUUUUCAGCUUUGUGAUACACUUUCAAAGAGUCGGAUUGUUUGGGAAUGCAGUCCAAAAUGGGUGGUAAAUUUCAUCUAAAGCUAAAUAUUGGCGAGAGACCGAUAGCGAACAAGUACCGUGAGGGAAAGAUGAAAAGAACUUUGAAAAGAGAGUUAAACAGUACGUGAAAUUGUCAAAAGGGGAGCGUUUGACACCAGUGUUGUUUUUCUGAAAAUCAAUUAAAGAACUGUUUAUGCUAAGCUGUUUAGACUUUAUCAGCUAAUCUGUUUAGUUUUGAGCUUUUCUUUAAUGCACUUUUCAGUUAACAAGUCAACAUCAAUUUCUUUUGCUGUAAAAAAGCUUGAGGAAGGUGGCUUGAGAUUCGUCUUAAGUGUUUAUAGCCUCUUGCCUAUGCAGUCGGAGAGAUUGAGGUCUGCAGCGUAGAUCCUUCGGGGCUAAAUGCAUUUGUGCUAAGUUAUAGCAUUUUAUAGACAACUUGUUGACUAUGAUUUGUCUUGUAGCUUACUCGCUUAUGUUAUUUUACCUACGCUUAGGAUGUUGACAGCAGUAUAGACUGU
rnacentral:rRNA from 1 species